rnacentral:piRNA from 1 species
UAGGAUUCAUUCUCUUUAAUCAGCUCCUUG